CUUACAAGUGUGGGGAAGGGAAGGGAAGGCGGCAGAAACCAACUGUGCCUGGGCUGCAUAGCAAUGGUGCUUACAGGACACCCAUGAGCAUGUUCUGGCAUUCAGUCGUGAUAUUUCCUUCUGUUCUGUUGCCAUGCUGAGUAUGAUUCCAUGCUGCCCUGUGCUCCUGCUAUACAGACACUGCUCUUCUGUGAUCAGCACUUUGUGACUCUCCUGGCAGUGCAAUAUGGUCAGCACCUCAAACUGUUUACGUACAACUGGUGAGAAAAUGAGGUUCUUCACUUUGCCAAAGUGCUAAGGUUGAGGUAAAGUUCUGCCUCUCCUCAGCCCUUGAAGGAGUUUAGCCACCACAAGGCCUGGAGAAAGGGAGAUGCACUGCUGCAGUGAAACCCAGCAGCUGGUAAAAACCAAACCUGCUACAAAAAAGGCUCAGAACAAAACUGGAAAUGCAAAACAAGGUCUUUCUGGGAAGGCAAAUUGUCAUGACUGCCUGAAAUUGAAUUUGGAUUGGUGAUCUCUAAGAGGACCUUUAUUCAUCAGAAAGAGUUCCCUUCUUGACUUUCAUAGAAGCAUCAAGAAGCAGAUGAACUUCUCUCACAGAAUCUCUUCAGAAUGCAAAGGUGAAAGCACUGAUCCAAACCCUGCUUCUUAAAUAACUUGUGUGUCUUUGGAGUGUGUGUGGCAUGGCCAGCAUUACUGUUACACUGUGGUGCCUUUGGAGAUGAGGCAUUGCGGAGCUGUUCUCUCACUUUUCUGAAAUAUAUUUCCCAGUCUUGUUUUUUGUUUGUUUCUAAAACACACGUGCUUCAGUUUCUGGGUAAGCUGUGUUUGAUAAUGAAAGCUGUGCCUCUGCUAUCACAGAGCAGUUCCUUAUCCUUCUCUUUUGCUGUAAACAAGGAUAAAUGGUUAUGCUCCCUUAAAGCUGAAGUCUUGUGUCAGUCACACCAUAUAAACAUGUUCUCUUUUUCUCUUGCAUUAGUGUCAGGGAAGAAAAUGACAGCACUGCUGAUUUCCUUCAUCCUUUUACUUGUUUCAAAUCUUGGAGUCAUGAUACACAAGCAAACCCAGGACUAGUUUAUCCAGUCCAAAGCUGAUGUGCAAAAUGUAAUUAUCUUGGACAGGGACUUUUCUCUGGAACCUGCCUACUCAACACGUCAGCCCUUUGUUCUCUGGCAGUGUUAAAGCUGGAGUCUUAUUUCACUUUAUCUCUGCUAUUGCUCUACAUCUUCCACUCCACCUCCAAUGUUUGUUUCUGCAACGCCUUGCUCAAAAAUGUAAAAGGUGUCCUGUCAUAAGCAAAAAGCACCAGAAACGUGUAGCAGUGAAUAAACAAAUUGCUAUUUGGCAUCCUUCUUAAAAGUUGUUAUCUCGCUGUCUUGGCUGUUCAUUAAGACAGAUGCAUAAAGCAUCUGUAGUGGCCAUCACUCACUGCCAGGAUCCUGGCCACCGCAGCACAGCUGAACAGCCCAUUUCACUAAUGGAGGAGAGAGUUAGCAGCAAUCAUCCUGACAAUAAUGGUCUCAUGGCCAUCCCUCACCGGGAGGGAGGAGCUGCCAAUGUGCUCUGUGCAUGUGCUAAAUAACAUCACCCAGCAUUUCACAGCCGCAGCCUAGAAAGCAUUCAGAAACGCCAGUCCUGUUUUAAAGCUAAUUAUUGCAUGGCAAUCUAGCUCAAUAUUCAGUGCCAUUAUUGAUGUAAAGACUAAAAGUUUAAUUGCAGGACAGCUCUGAAAAUUAGAGUCCUGCUGGGUUCCUCUCCAGCUUCCUAUGGGAUGUGUUUGUGCAAAAACAAAGGAAAUGGUAAAACAAUAAUCAGCAUACGUGCACAGAUGUGCUGCUGAUGGCAGGAGGGUGUGGAAGGAAGCAGCACAGGUGCUUACUCAGCCCCACACUUGCUGGUUGUGGUGAGAUGUGUCUUGAAAGAAUUACAGAGGACAGCUGAGCAGGAUAGCAGAAGUCCUGGACUGUUCAUGACAGUUUCCUCAUUAUCAGAAAAAAUUCAAGUGUGAAACUGCUGUUAUUAGACUGAUCUCAGAUCUGAGCUAGAGAACAGCAAGAUGGAAGGAGGACUGAUGUUUCCUGUUGAUGUGAUUCUCCUUUUCUUUGGAUAAAGCCACUAACAGUCCUUCUGCAAAGGAAUGUUUGUGGCUUUAUGCAGAGAAAAGGAGGAAGCAGUUUGGAAAGAUCAUGGAAAUCACAUUUCCAAGCUUCCCAAAAAAUAUAUCUUGUGUCAAUUGAACUGUGUCAAUGAAGGCAAGUCUGGGGACGUGUAGAAAUAAGGAAAGAACUGGAAGUGUAGCUGCUGUGGGUCUCCACAGAUCCAAGCAGGAGAAGUGUGAUAAACAUGGAUAUCUCAAGACUUCUGCUGCUGCAGUUUCCAUGGUGGGAAGGCAUAAUCUCUCCUGAAUGUGUUUGCAAACAAAAUUCCAGAGGACCUGGUUGGAUUUAGCUGGACCCCUACAUUAGUCUGCUUCAUCUCCUUAAGCAGCCUGUUCUGCUUCAGAAUCCUCAAGAUUUUCUGGAUUUAUUUAGGUACAAGGUGACAGUGAAAUGGUGGUGCCUUUUCCACCACCAAUGCUGGUGCUGUUAAGCCACUGGAGUUGGAAUGGCAGAAGAAUGAAGCACAGGAGAAAGUGGAAAACUCUAAAGAAAAAGAAUUAUCAAACCACUAAUGAGAAACAGGCUUUGUUAUUCUGUUCAAGAGAAUUAUCACAAAAUUGGUGGCAUUUGUAUGAGCAUAUUUCAUAUUUUUAUGUGUAAUACCAGACCCACUAUCACAGUUUUUCUAUUCAUCUCUAGAACUGUCUUUAUAUUUUUCCCUCUUAUGCCACGGAGCUGCUAUCACUCAGUGUUAAUGAGAACAAAAACCAGUAAAAAUUCUAUUUGAAACUGCUUAUACCCCAAACAAG